GUUGCUCCUCCAGCACCUCCUCUCCUCAUCCUCCAUCCCCUCUCAUCUGUCAGCAGUAAGCUCACUUUCCAAGUCACAAGGCCAUUCUCAGCACACACUGACAACAUGCUGGGGACCCUCUGCACUCUCAUCACUGCUCUAACAUGUGUGAGUGGUGUGGCCGUGGUGACACAGAAGCCUCCUGUUGUCACGGUGAGGAAAGGAGAGACAGCCACCAUGGACUGUAACCUGGGGACUGUUACUAACAGUGCUGCUCGCUGGUAUAAACAGAUUCCAGGAGGAGUUCCUCAGUAUGUACUGAGGUUUUAUCAUGGCUGGAGCGCUUCAAGAUAUGGCUCUGGUUUCUCCUCUCCAAAGUUUACAUCUAAUCAUCAGUCAACAUCAGAUUACCGUUUGAUCAUCACCAAUGUGGAGGAGGGAGACUCAGCAGUCUAUUACUGUCAAACAUGGGACAGCUCUGUUAGUGAGCACGUAUCACAGUGA